GUCGCCACCGCCGUCGCCACCACCACCACCAUCAUCAUCAUCAAAGACACAGAGAAGAGACGUUUGCUCAACAAGAGUGCUGCAAGUGGCUGAAGCAAAUGGACAACGAGUGCGUGUGCGACCUUCUGGUUAGGCUUCCGCCAUUGCUAGCAAAACCUGCGCAUAACUAUACAGUGUUUGUGGAUGAGUCGUGCAUCGUCACUUACACCUGUGGAGGCAGACUUAUGAGCUGAUCCUCUUUCCUUUCUAAACUACUUGUCCCAUAGCUUGUUCUUCUUCAAAGACCCUUUUGUUUAUCUGUCUUUUCUUAGCAGUUUAUUAUUUCACGCCCUUCAGUAUAAUUGUUGUACUUGUACGUUUUACACACCACCAGCAAAAAGUCAACCAAACCAAGCAAACAAAAAAUAGUAAGAUGGAUUAUAAUUUGCCUGAGCUUUGCUUCUUCCGUUGGAUAUGGGGCCUAGGUUCAUAGGGCAGUGACAUUAUUGUAAGCCAGCUAGUAGAUUGCAAUUUUCUAAAUUUGUUUCAGGCCCGUGGAUUGUAUUUACAUCUAUGAAUAAAUCUAAACUGAUUAAUUUGCUUUGAAAAUUGUAUACUGACUCAUUUCACAUUAGACUAAUAAAAGAGGAGUCUUCAAUAGAGCCUGAGACCAACAAUGCUCAUAACUUUCUACUACAAUAAAUGUGAAAGAGUUGUCAUCCCAUCAAUUUUGCAAAAGAAUGAUCAGUACCGAACAUAUACAAAACCCUAUCUUACAUUUGCGUCACUCAUGAAUGAGUUCCUGAUCUGCGUGCUAUGGUUUGAGAGCAGACUGACUCUGUUGUGCUCUUCCGCCAAGUCUCUUUGUCGGCUUGGCAUGCUUCUUUUAAAAUUUUUAGCUCUAUUUAUUAUAUACAACAACAACAACAAAAAAAUGAUUUUGGAGGCAUAUCAAUAUUUGCUCAAGCAUUCUUCGUUGCGGCUGCCAUAGUUAUUCCGCAAUUAUGUGAGGGUUCUCUGCUACACUCACUAAUCACUAUUUGCGUCCUCAACUUUCAUGUUUACUGACACUGGGACGUCUAUGAGGUGAGGUAAGGAAACAAUAUUAAACAAGUAGCAUAGGAUUGAGAUCAACAUGGUGGAAUAGAGUGAUCGAUAUAUUUUGAAAAGGGCUCAACAUAGUCACGAAGACAAAAAAAAAAAGUGUCUAACAUAGGAGUGUAUUACAAAUCAUAAGUUGUCCACCGUCGCCACCGCCGUCGCCACCACCACCACCAUCAUCAUCAUCAAAGACACAGAGAAGAGACGUUUGCUCAACAAGAGUGCUGCAAGUGGCUGAAGCAAAUGGACAACGAGUGCGUGUGCGACCUUCUGGUUAGGCUUCCGCCAUUGCUAGCAAAACCUGCGCAUAACUAUACAGUGUUUGUGGAUGAGUCGUGCAUCGUCACUUACACCUGUGGAGGCAGACUUAUGAGCUGAUCCUCUUUCCUUUCUAAACUACUUGUCCCAUAGCUUGUUCUUCUUCAAAGACCCUUUUGUUUAUCUGUCUUUUCUUAGCAGUUUAUUAUUUCACGCCCUU
rnacentral:lncRNA from 1 species